rnacentral:rRNA from 1 species
CAAUAGCGUAUAUUAAAGUUGUUGCAGUUAAAAAGCUCGUAGUUGGAUUUCUGGUGGGAGCGAUCGGUCUGGCGCUUAGCGCGAGUACUUGCAUCGUCUCCGGCCAUCCUUGGGGAGAGUCUUUCUGGCAUUAGGUUGUCGGGCAGAGGAUCCUCAUCGUUUACUGUGAAAAAAUUAGAGUGUUCAAAGCAGGCUUAUGCCGUUGAAUAUAUUAGCAUGGAAUAAUAAGAUAGGACUUUGGUACUAUUUUGUUGGUUUGCGCACCAAAGUAAUGAUUAAUAGGGACAGUUGGGGGUAUUCGUAUUCCGUUGUCAGAGGUGAAAUUCUUGGAUUUACGGAAGACGAACUACUGCGAAAGCAUUUACCAAGGAUGUUUUCAUUAA